rnacentral:rRNA from 1 species
AGAAUCAACGCUGGCGGCGUGCCUAACACAUGCAAGUCGCACGAGAAAGGGGAGCAAUCCCUGAGUAAAGUGGCGCACGGGUGAGUAACACGUGAAUGAUCUACCUCCGAGUGGGGAAUAACCAAAGAAAUUUUGGCUAAUACCGCAUAACACUUACGAGUCAAAGCAGCAAUGCGCUUGGAGAGGAGUUCGCGGCAGAUUAGCUAGUUGGCGGGGUAAUGGCCCACCAAGGCGAUGAUCUGUA